AAAAAAAAAAAAAAAAAAGAGGCCUCCGGAAGUUCUAAAACUGGGACCAUUAGGUCAUCAAUAGAAGUUACCACUCUCUUUAUGAACAACCUAUUUUGCAUCUUCCCAACCUCUACUUCUCCAACCUAACUUGUACAGAGUAAACUUUGAAAUUGAAGAAAAAGUAGAAUGGUCCCAACUCCCAAGCCCUCCUUCGAAGGUUUUUGUGCCUGCUAUGUGAUAAGUUCUGUAUACCCAAGUUGACAACAUGAGCUAGAUAUUGGAAGGGUUUGUGGCUGAUGCAAGAUAUGGCAGUGGCACUAUACCCAUAGGAUCAAUAUACGCCUGCCAUUUUCCAUAACUGCGACUUUUAAAAAAAAAAAAAAAA
rnacentral:misc_RNA from 1 species